GAUGGGGCGAAGGAGGAAAAGUUCUUUUUGCGGCACCCUCACGCCUUCCCAGCCCUUUCGCGGUUUACUCGCUCCCCGGAAAGCAGGGCAUUCAAGCAGCCCUGAGGAGAGGUCCACAUGGUGAGCCACUGAGGGCCUUGCCAAGAGCCAGCACCAACGGUCCAGGUUUGGAGUGUACCACCUUGGAAGUGAAUCUUCCAGUCCAGUCAAGCCUUCAGAUGACUUCAGAACCGUCCAUGUAAGCCACUCUUGGAUUCCUGACCCACAGAAACUGUUGGAGGCAUUAUCAACAGUUUCUAACAUCACAGACAGACAAACAUGUGCCUCCUGAUUGAAAAAACAGAACAUCACCUGUAGUCUUGCCAGUGAGAUCAAACUGAAGUCCAAUUAACCUCUGGAUCCAGCUGCCAAUUUGCAGGAAAUAGAGGAGAGAAGCAUCUGUUGAACUGCACCAUGAGUAUACACUCAGCAAAGGCCAAACUGUGGAAAAUGAUACAGGUCAAACAGCCUGGAUUCUUUAACAGUAAGUGAUGUUUCUGAAGCACCAAUGAAAAUGAAGUCCUGAAGUCCUGUGCUCAAUAUGAAAUGUUGGAAGUUAGAAGAAAAAAACAAAACUUGGAUCCAAUCUCAAGGCACUUUUUGUUUAAUGGGAAGAAGUGGAUUAUUUUAAAAGCUACAAAUAAAGUUACAUAAAAGUA
rnacentral:lncRNA from 1 species